UGGCGGCUUCGUGCCGUGCAGGUGGGCGAGCAGGAGAUGAAGAAGCAGCAGGACGAGAUCGCCGCCAUCAUGAAGAUGCGCGAGGCGGCGUCCAGCGGCACGCAGCAAGCCGGGGAUUUCAUCUGCACCGUGUACCUGGAGGAGAAGAAGGCGGAGAUGGAGCAGCACGUGAAGAUCCCGGCCACGAUGACGGCUGAGGAGCUGACAUCCGAGAUCCUGGAUAGGAGGAAAAUGGUGACCAAGGAGAAGGAUUAUUGGAGCUGC